AAACCUGCAGUGGUUUAUGAAAUUCAGACAACCAGAAUGUAAAACUAAUGCAGAACUUUUACAAUGUUCAGAUGCUUCAGUCUUCUGCUGCUGCUGUUUUGCUUCAUCUAUCAGAGCGGAGCCCCGCCUGUAGGAACCAGCACUAUAUCUGUGUCAGGAAAAAAGAGAGACAACGUCACACUGCCAUGUCAAUUUGAGACCAAAAAGAUUUCUGAUAUUAGUUUAAACAAUGGGUCAGAAAACAUCCCUGUCUGUCAGACUGAAGAAUGUAGUGGACGAGUAUUUAAACAAGGAAACUGUGACGUCGUCUUCAAGGAUCUGAGCUUCAGUGAUGCUGGGAAAUACUUUAUGAGAGUCUAUUACAAUAAUGAUCAGACAAAGCUGAGGCGACAAAUCAGGACGUACCAACUUCAUAUUCAU